CCUACGGGUGGCUGCAGUGAGGAAUAUUGGUCAAUGGCCGUAAGGCUGAACCAGCCAAGUCGCGUGAAGGAAGAAGGAUCUAUGGUUUGUAAACCUCUUUUGUCGGGGAGCAAAAGCCGGACGUGUCCGGCUGUGAGAGUACCCGAAGAAAAAGCAUCGGCUAACUCCGUGCCAGCAGCCGCGGUAAUACGGAGGAUGCGAGCGUUAUCCGGAUUUAUUGGGUUUAAAGGGUGCGCAGGCGGAUUUUUAAGUCAGCGGUCAAAUCGUGGGGCUCAACCCCAUCCAGCCGUUGAAACUGGGGAUCUAGAGUGUGCGAGAGGUAUGCGGAAUGCGUGGUGUAGCGGUGAAAUGCAUAGAUAUGACGCAGAACCCCGAUUGCGAAGGCAGCAUACCGGUGCACAACUGACGCUCAGGCACGAAAGCGUGGGUAUCGAACAGGAUUAGAUACCCCUGUAGUC
rnacentral:rRNA from 1 species